rnacentral:rRNA from 1 species
UUCCGGUUGAUCCUGCCGGACCUGACUGCUAUCGGAUUGAUACUAAGCCAUGCGAGUCAUUGUAGCAAUACAAGGCAGACGGCUCAGUAACGCGUAGUCAACCUACCCUAUGGACGGGAAUAACCUCGGGAAACUGAGUAUAAUGCCCGAUAGAACACUAUACCUGGAAUGGUUUGUGUUCCAAAUGAUUUAUCGCCGUAGGAUGGGACUGCGGCCUAUCAGUUUGUUGGUGAGGUAAUGGCCCACCAAGACUAUUACAGGUACGGGCUCUGAGAGGAGUGGCCCGGAGAUGGGUACUGAGACACGGACCCAGGCCCUAUGGGGCGCAGCAGGCGAGAAAACUUUGCAAUGUGCGAAAGCACGACAAGGUUAAUCCGAGUGGUUUCUGCUAAAGGAACCUUUUGACAGUCCUAGAAACACUGUUGAAUAAGGGGUGGGCAAGUUCUGGUGUCAGCCGCCGCGGUAAAACCAGCACCUCAAGUGGUCAGGAUGAUUAUUGGGCCUAAAGCAUCCGUAGCCGGCUCUGUAAGUUUUCGGUUAAAUCUGUACGCUUAACGUACAGGCUGCUGGGAAUACUGCAGAGCUAGGGAGUGGGAGAGGUAGACGGUACUCGGGAGGAAGUGGUAAAAUGCUUUGAUCUCUCGAUGACCACCUGUGGCGAAGGCGGUCUACCAGAACACGUCCGACGGUGAGGGAUGAAAGCUGGGGGAGCAAACCGGAUUAGAUACCCGGGUAGUCCCAGCUGUAAACUAUGCAAACUCAGUGAUGCACUGGCUUUUGGCCAGUGCAGUGUUGCAGGGAAGCCGUUAAGUUUGCCGCCUGGGAAGUACGUACGCAAGUAUGAAACUUAAAGGAAUUGGCGGGGGAGCACCACAAGGGGUGAAGCCUGCGGUUCAAUUGGAUUCAACGCCGGA